CCCUUAGAUGUCCUGGGCCGCACGCGCGCUACACUGAGUGUCUGAGAUACGAGUCUGCCUGGUCCGGCAAGGUCUAGGUAAUCGCUAAAAGACACAUCAUGCUUGAGAUAGAUUAUUGCAAAUAUUAAUCUUGAACGAGGAAUUCCUAGUAAGCGCAAGUCAACAGCUUGCGUUGAUUACGUCCCUGCCCUUUGUACACACCGCCCGUCGCUACUACUGAUUGGAUGUUUAAGCGAGGUUCUCGAACUGCUAGCGACUUAGCUUCGGUGAGGUCGCAGUGUGGGAAGUGAACCUAGCUUUGGUGUCUAGAGGAAGUAAAAGUCGUAACA
rnacentral:rRNA from 1 species